rnacentral:tRNA from 1 species
UGCGGGAUCUUCUAAUGGUAGGAAUAUGGACUCUGAAUCCAUCAAUCUUGGUUCGAAUCCAAGUCCCGCAGCCA